AGGCAGCAGUGGGGAAUAUUGGACAAUGGGGGCAACCCUGAUCCAGCCAUGCCGCGUGUGUGAAGAAGGCCUUUUGGUUGUAAAGCACUUUAAGCAGGGAGGAGAGGCUAAUGGUUAAUACCCAUUAGAUUAGACGUUACCUGCAGAAUAAGCACCGGCUAACUCUGUGCCAGCAGCCGCGGUAAUACAGAGGGUGCGAGCGUUAAUCGGAAUUACUGGGCGUAAAGCGAGUGUAGGUGGCUCAUUAAGUCACAUGUGAAAUCCCCGGGCUUAACCUGGGAACUGCAUGUGAUACUGGUGGUGCUAGAAUAUGUGAGAGGGAAGUAGAAUUCCAGGUGUAGCGGUGAAAUGCGUAGAGAUCUGGAGGAAUACCGAUGGCGAAGGCAGCUUCCUGGCAUAAUAUUGACACUGAGAUUCGAAAGCGUGGGUAGCAAACAGGAUUAGAUACCCUGGUAGUCCACGCCGUAAACGAUGUCUACUAGCCGUUGGGGUCCUUGAGACUUUAGUGGCGCAGUUAACGCGAUAAGUAGACCGCCUGGGGAGUACGGCCGCAAGGUUAAAACUCAAAUGAAUUGACGGGGGCCCGCACAAGCGGUGGAGCAUGUGGUUUAAUUCGAUGCAACGCGAAGAACCUUAC
rnacentral:rRNA from 1 species